UACGUAGGGUGCAAGCGUUAAUCGGAAUUACUGGGCGUAAAGCGUGCGCAGGCGGUUUUUGUAAGUCUGUCGUGAAAUCCCCGGGCUCAACCUGGGAAUUGCGAUGGAGACUGCAAAGCUAGAAUCUGGCAGAGGGGGGUAGAAUUCCACGUGUAGCAGUGAAAUGCGUAGAGAUGUGGAGGAACACCGAUGGCGAAGGCAGCCCCCUGGGUCAAGAUUGACGCUCAUGCA
rnacentral:rRNA from 1 species